GCAUUGGUGGUUCAGUGGUAGAAUGCUCGCCUGCCACGCGGUAGGCCCGGGUUCGAUUCCCGAUCGAUGCA
rnacentral:tRNA from 1 species